rnacentral:rRNA from 1 species
GGAAACCUUGUUACGACUUCUCCUUCCUCUAAAUGAUAAGGUUCAGUGGACUUCUCGCGACGUCGCGGGCGGCGAACCGCCCCCGUCGCCUCGAUCCGAACACUUCACCGGACCAUUCAAUCGGUAGGAGCGAC